UAGUUGCGUUUCCACCCAAGAGAGUUCGGUCGGUGCGGCGUGUGUGUGUAUAUUGAAUAGAGUGAACCAAUAAAAGACCAAACAUAAUAAAAAAAGAACUUUGAAGAGAGAAAUAAUCAAAAAAUGUUGCCUUCCGCGACAUUUUUCUGUGUUACCGUCGUGAUCGUGGGGAUUUUAGGCGAGAUUAAGGGGCUGGAUCCGAACUUGGGGUCCGCGGGGGCAGUUUCGCACUUCGAGCCCCAGGUCGCCAUUUUAUGCGACGCGGGGCCCCGGGGACAAGAAGCCUAUCAGCCCAAGUACAUGACCGAGCAGGGGGAGUGGGCCUCCGACUUAAGGUCAAAGGCCGCCUGUCUCAAGGACAAAAUGGAUAUUCUUAAUUACUGCAAAAUGGUAUAUCCUAAAAGGGACAUAACCAACAUUGUAGAGAGUAGUCACUACCUGAAAAUCGGUUCCUGGUGUAGAGCCGGUGCCACUCCGGGUUCUCAAAGUCGCGGCAAAUGUAAAACUGCCAGAUGGGUUAAACCUUUCAGGUGUUUAGAGGGUCCAUUCCAGUCCGACGCCUUGCUGGUACCAGAGAACUGCAUGUUCGACCACAUCCAUAACCAGAGCAACUGUUGGACCUUCGGUCGGUGGAAUUCUACCGCCGGUACCGCUUGCCAAGAAAAAGGACUCCAGUUGAGGUCGUUCGCUAUGCUGCUUCCAUGCGGAAUUUCCCUGUUUAGCGGAGUGGAGUUCGUUUGCUGUCCGAAACACUUUAAAGAAAACGUAAAACCAAAGAAACCCAUUGACUUGUCGAUCCUCAAAAAAGAGCAAGACAUCUUCUCAGAUCCUUUGGACGAUACCGACGACGAUUCAGACGAAGAUGACGACAAUGACGAUCUGGACGACUUGGUAGAUGACACCGAACUAUCCGAAGAUCCCACUAUUGAUGACGACGAUGUUGAUGACGAAGAUGACGACGAUUAUGAUGAAACCGAUUGGGAUACUACCUCGCAAAGCACCACCAGCAGCUCCAAGUAUACCCCGUCGGUUAGUUCAACCACUACUACCACAUCAACCACCACCACUACAACCGAGAAACCUACAACUGAAUCCACUCCCGACCCUUACUUUACGCACUUUGACCCUAGAAACGAACAUCAGAGUUAUAAAGAAGCGCAAGAACGUUUAGAAGAGACACACAGAGAGAAAGUUACGAGGGUAAUGAAAGACUGGUCGGAUCUGGAGGAACGUUAUCAGGACAUGCGGUCGACAGAUCCACGAAGUGCGGACGAGUUUAAGCAAAGGAUGACUCAGAGGUUCCAGCAAACCGUGCAGGCUUUAGAGGAGGAGGGAGAUGCCGAGAAACACCAAUUGGCCGCCAUGCAUCAGCAAAGAGUUCUAGCUCACAUUAAUCAGAGGAAAAAGGAGGCCAUGACUUGCUACACUCAGGCUUUAAAUGAUAAUCCACCGAACACCCACAGGGUACAGAAAUGUCUACAAAAACUGCUGAGAUCGUUACACAAGGACCGCGCCCACGCCAUUUCCCACUAUCGCCAUCUGUUGGCGAGUAGCAUCGAGGCGGCGGCUCGCGAGCAACCGCGAGUACUGGAACGACUCACCGAUAUCGAUCGGACCGUCAAUCAGAGCAUGCAAAUGCUCAAGAGGUAUCCAGAGUUGGCCUCGAGAAUCGGACAGUUAAUGGACGAUUAUAUUCAAGCGUUAAGAUCAAAGGAUGAAACGCCUGGUUCACUUCUAGCUAUGACCUCCGACGCAGAGCAAGCGAUUUUGGACAAAUACAAAGCGGAAAUCACCAAUAAACAAGCAGAAAGAGAAAGACAACGGUUACAAGAGAAAGAGCGAAAGGAGCAAAGGAAAAAGGAGCGAACGGAACUGAAGGAGGAAAAGAAGAGAGUGGAGGCGGCUUUGGGCAAAACCAUUAGUAACAUGGACGAGGACGAUAUGGAGGAAGACAUUGCGGCGGUUGAUGAUAAACCAUCAACUCCGGUAUUCGUGGUAUCGACGGUCGAGAGUACCUCCGCCGAGAUCGCGAGUAGCUACGCCCCGACUCCGACCGUCGGCGGUCACAAGGAGGUGGACGAUGUGGCGGUUCAGGAGGCGGUCGAGGAGGUGGCGAAGGCGGCCGCCUCUCACCGGCAGGACGUCAUCCGGGUGGCGCAUAUAAUGUCGCACGACUUGAGUCACGGAGAACCGUCAUUCUCUGUUCGACGAGAGAUCUACGGCCAUAAGGAUGGCAGAAGUGUCUACAUCACGAUCGCAUUCGCCGGAAUGGCCUUAAUGGCCGCGAUCGUGGUGGGAGUUGCGGUGGCCAAACGCGGAUCUACUCGGUCUCCACAAAGUCAAGGAUUUGUCGAAGUAGACCAAGCAGCGACCCCCGAAGAAAGACACGUGGCAAACAUGCAAAUUAACGGUUACGAAAACCCCACCUACAAAUACUUUGAGGUGAAGGAGUAGGUAACUUCUUAAACUGUAUAAAUAACGGAAUUAUAUAACACUGUUAUUUCCUUUAUUAAUUAAUUAAUUAAUUAGCAAACCUUCUUGUGUUCGUUUCGGUUCGUUGUAUAUUUAUUUCCGAUAUAAUGACGCUUUAGGAGCAAUAUUCUAUUGAUCUGUGGUUUUUUUUUGUAUAUUAAGUUGUUAAGUUUGAUAUUAGUUUUCAAGGGUUGGAUUAUUCAACCCAUUUAAGUAAUUGACAAACCGUGGUACAUUCAAUCAUUCCAAGUUUUUCUUUUUUUAUAUAUAUAUUUAUAUUAUUUUACUUAAGUAGUAGGUUUGUACUUAAUAAUAAUACUCUUAACGCAACUUGAUAAUAAUAAUUCUUACAUAUGCAAAACAAAAGUAUAUAUAAAAUAUUUUGGAGUUUUAAAAGGAAAACUUUAAAUAUAUUAUGAUUAGUCAUGAUUUUUUGCAUAUGACAGUCCACAUUUUUAACAAACAAAAUGAAUAAAAAAAAAACAAAUUACGUAACCCGUAGCGGAGAGGGAGGGUCAAACUAAAUGAUGCAAAAAAUUCUGAUUGACCUUCCUCCUUUGCUCUCCCUUUUAGUUGUAUUGUAAUUAUACACUCAGUUGGAAGUAAUUAUUUAUUUAUGCAAGGUGGGUCAAAAGUAAGUGAUGUAAACCUUUAAGGAGUAUAAAAAAUGUAGGAAGUGGUUUGUUUUCUUAAAGGAUGUUAGAUCAAUGUUUAUACUUGUCAGACUAUUUAUUUACAAGCAAUAGAUCUUUUUUUAAGUUUUCGUUGGAUUUCCAGGCAUUUGAAAUAAUAAUUCAUGGUCUACAGGCAUUUUAUGUCUUCCUUUUUGGUUUUUCGUUGAUUUAAUCACGUUUUCGGCAUAAUUUCCUAAAUAUUCAAAACUAUUGAUUUAAUGUCUAAUGAAUUCCAAAUAAUUAAAGAAGUUCUUCAUAUUUUCGAGGCUUUCGGAGUAUUUUUUAAUAUAUUCCAGGCAUUUGAACAAAUAUUUUUUAGUUUUCAGGCAUUUUUUUAAUUAGUUUGGUUUAAUAACAUUUUCUACGUUUUUGGAAUAGUUCCUGAAAUAAUAUUCCAGACAUUUGAUGCAUAGUGAAUUCAUCAAUCAAAGGAUUAAGUUUUUCAUAUUUUCCAGAUCCUGCAUGUCAUUUUUCAUGUUUUUAGGGGGUUUCUAGAUGUUAUUUUAUACAUUCAAGUAUUCCAGUUAUUUUAAAAAAUAUUUCACUUUUUUGGAAUAAUUUCUUAAAUAUUUCCGACAUUCGAUUUAAUUUUUAAUGUAUUCCAGGCUUUUGAAGAAGUUUUUCAGACAUUUGGAAUAAUUAUUCAUCUAUUACAGGCAACCGUGUUACAACACUUGUUCUAUUCAAGUUAUUUAGGAUAUUGUUUCUUAUUUUAUAGCCUCACGAAGACAUCAAAAAUCGCAUUGGGUGCAUGAAAUUAUUUUAAUAGAAAAAAAACUUUAUAGCAAUAAAAUGCAAAAUUACUGCAAGUUUCAAGAAGAAAUGUAUCGACAUCCCAUUAGACAUCAACAUAUAAUUUAAACCACUUAAAUAAUUUGUAUAAAUUUAAAAUACUUUCCAUCCAUCCUUUAAAAAACACUGACAACUUACUUUUGUAUCACCACCCCCGUGUCGGAUCAAAAUAAAAUUAUUCGUGUAUGAUUACAAUAACAAGUUAGCAGCUAGACUUGUAUGGUACCCUCCAUAUUAUACUUAAUAUUAACAUUAAAAAAUUAGAUCGUAACGUGCAAUAUGUUACCCGACAGCUUUUGUACAAAGUCUUAUUUUGUUACAAGUUUAAUCCGGUUUUUUCUAGUGGAUUAAUAAUCGGUGAAUAUCGUCUUUAUUCUAUGAGAGAAAAUCCAAUCUGGUUCAAUAUUGACUUCUCUUUUUAGUAUAAUUAAUCUGAGACAAGGUGUUUCGGUAACUGUGUUAAUAAAUUCCGUUUAUUAAUCAUUACAGGCUCUCAAAGAUGAUGGUGAAAAGUUUUUCAAUUUUUUUUGGACCCAGUGCAAACAUUUUCAUAAUUUUGUUAAAAAUGGUCCAAAUUUGUUGAAAGUUGCUUUAAUUGGUUUGGAAAACUUCGGUUUUUAUUUAUAAAAAAUAUUGCAAGUCAAUAUUUUUAAUAAGGAAUUUGUUACAGGCUGUCAAAGAUCAUCGUGGACAUUUUUCCAAUUUUUUUCAGGCCCAGUACAAAAAUCUUCAUAACUUUGGUAAAAAUGGUCCAAAUUUGUUGAAAGUUACUUUAAUUGGUUUGGAAGACUUCAGUUUUUAUUUUUUUUAAUAUUCCAAGUCAAUAUUCUCAACAGGGAACUUGUUACAGGCUGUCAAAGAUCAUCGUGAACAUUUUUCCAAUUUUUUUUGGACCCAGUACAAAAAUUUUCAUAACUUUGUUAAAAAUGGUCCAAAUUUGUUGGAAGUUACUUUAAUUGGUUUGGAAAACUUCAGUUUUUAUUUAAAAAAAUAUUGCAAGUCAAUAUUCUUUAUAGGGAAUUUGUUACAGGCUGUCAAAGAUCAUCGUGGACAUUUUUCCAAUUUUUUUGGACCCAGUACAAAAAUCUUCAUAACUUUGGUAAAAAUGGUCCAAAUUUAUUGAAAGUUGCUUUAAUUAGUUAGGAAAACUUCAAUUUCUAUUUAAAAAAAUAUUACAAGACAAUAUUCUCAACAGGGAAUUUUUUACAGGCUGUCAAAGAUGAUGGUGAAAAUUUUUCCAAUUUUUUUGGACCCACUACAAAAUUCUUCAUAACUUUGUUAAAAAUGGUCCAAAUUUGUUGAAAGUUGCUUUAAUUUGUUAAGAAAACUCGAAUUUGCAUAAAAAAAAUUAUUCCAAGCGAAUUUUCUUAAUACGGAAUUUUUUACAGGCUGUCAAAGAUCAUCGUGGAAAUUUUUCCAAUUUUUUUUGACUCAGUACAAAAAUCUUCAUAACUUUAUUAAAAAUGGUCCAAAUUUGUUGAAAGUUGCUUUAAUUAGUUAGGAAAACUUCAAUUUGCAUUAAAAAAUAUAUUACAAAUGAAUAUUCUUAACAGGGAAUUUGUUACAGGCUGUCAAAGAUCAUCGUGAAAAUUUUUUCAAUGUUUUUGGACCCAGUACAAAAAUCUUCAUAAUUUUCUUAAAAAUGGUCCAAAUUUGUUGAAAGUUGCUUUAAUUUGUUUAGAAAACUGAAAUUUGCAUAAAAAAAAAUAUUCCAAGCGAAUUUUCUUAAUAGGGAAUUUUUUACAGGCUGUCAAAGAUCAUCGUGAAAAUUUUUCCAAUUUUUUUGGACCCACUACAAAAAUCUUCAUAAUUUUCUUUAAAAUGGUCCAAAUUUGUUGAAAGUUGCUCUAAUUUGUUUGGAAAACUUCAAUUUGCAUAAAAAAAAUUAUUCCAAGUGCAUAUUCUUAAUAGGGAAUUUGUUAUAGGCUGUCAAAGGUCAUCGUGAAAAAUUUUCCAAUUUUUUUGGACCCAGUACAAAAAUCUUCAUAACUUUGUUAAAAAUGGUCCAAAUUUGUUGAAAGUUGCUUUAAUUUGUUUAGAAAACUGAAAUUUGCAUAAAAAAAAAUAUUCCAAGCGAAUUUUCUUAAUAGGGAAUUUUUUACAGGCUGUCAAAGGUCAUCGUGAAAAAUUUUCCAAUUUUUUUUGGACCCAGUACAAAAAUCUUCAUAAUUUUGUUAAAAAUGGUCCAAAUUUGUUGAAAGUUGCCUCAAUUUGUUUGGAAAACUUCAAUUUGCAUAAAAAAAAUUAUUCCAAGUGAAUAUUCUUAAUAGGGAAUUUGUUACAGGCUGUCAAAGAUCAACGUGGAAUUUUUUCCAAUUUUUUUUGACUCAGUACAAAAAUCUUCAUAACUUUAUUAAAAAUGGUCCAAAUUUGUUGAAAGUUGCUUUAAUUAGUUAGGAAAACUUCAAUUUUCAUUAAAAAAUAUAUUACAAGUGAAUAUUUUUAACAGGGAAUUUGUUACAGGCUGUCAAAGAUCAUCGUGAAAUAUUUUCCAAUUUUUUUGGACCCAGUACAAAAAUCUUCAUAACUUUGUUAAAAAUGGUCCAAAUUUGUUGAAAGUUGCUUUAAUUUGUUUGGAAAACUUCAAUUUGCAUUAAAAAAUUAUUCCAAGUGAAUAUUCUCAACAGGGACUUUUUUACAGGCUGUCAAAGAUGAUGGUCAAAAUUUUUCCAAUUUUUUUGGACCCACUACAAAAAUCUUCAUAAUUUUCUUAAAAAUGGUCCAAAUUUGUUGAAAGUUACCUUAAUCUGUCUGGAAAACUUCAGUUCCUAUUUAAAAAGACAUUCCAAGUCAAUAUUCUUAAUAGGAAAAUUGUCACAGCCUGUCAAAUAUGAUGGUAAAAAUUUUCCCAAUUUCUUGGGCAUCCGGUACAAAAACCCUCAUAAUUCCCCAUCACUCACUAUUAGGAAAAACGCAAAACGUUAAAUUCUUUAAAGUAAGUUAAACAAAAAAUCGGAAAUUGUACUUUAUUUAUCUUACAUCUAGGGGAAUAUAAGUAAUUCAGACUCUACUAUUAUGAUAACAGUAUAACUAUGAUUUCAUUUGAUGAUUAUUUAGUAGUAGGUCGAAACACGCAUUACGGUUUUUUUCACGGGUAGCAAUAAAUUGGCUUAAGUCUGAUAAUUUCUCUAACGCAUAAAGCAAGGGAGUUUAACCUAAUAAAAUGGACAGUUUUAAUGCCUUCCUGAGGACGGUAAUAUGGUUUAGCCGAAACGUGCGUCUCGUGGCAGUAGAAAAUGAUGUGUUUGAAUAUAUUUUCAAGGCACUUUUUAGGUUCUCAAGACCUUUGAAGAAGUGUUUCGUUAUCUGCAGGAUUAUGAGGUACAUUUGAUGUAUUCCAGGAAUUUAAUUAACAAAUUUCAUUACUUUAUAUUUUCCAAGCUUUUGGAAUUCGUUUAGGCCCCUUAAGGUAAUUGUUUGUAUAUCCCAUGUAUGUAAAGACAUUUUUUUUACCUUUCAAUGGCAUCAGAUAAACUAGAUAAAAUUCAUCAUCACUAGGCAUUAUGUGUUAACUAAUAGUGCGACAGCUGUCACCCAAGAUAAGAGAAAAAAAAGAGGGAUCCUUGGACUACUAAUACUGAAAUUAUGUCAUCUCGAAGAACAAAUAAUAAACGUCUGUUCCGAUCAUCAUUUAGUGUCUGACGUUGGUAUUGUAGGGUCUUGAAACAAGUGACAUUUUACCUUUGGAAUCUCGCUGAAGGGGACGAUAUUCACACGUUAUACCACCAGAGUUUUUAAGGUGUGAAGCAUUUUUUGUAUAACACACUUUAUCAAUUUUAUACUGGGUGUCUUUAACUUGCUAUAAUAACUCAGAACGUGUAGUGACUCUAUUAUUAUUAUUAUUUAUGUCGGUGUAUUGAUUAUUGAAGACACCUUGCAUAGAAUUAUAUACAGGGGAUCCCAUUGUGGUAAGAAAACAAUUCUUUGGUUUGCUUGGCUCACGGGACACCCCAGUAUGCAGUCAAUAAUAACGUUUUACGCUUCUCAAGCUCGAAUGAUUCAAGAUGGAAAAAAGCUUGUACGUAAGCACUCGUUUCCUUUCGAAUUUUAUACUUUGUAAAUAAAUACUGUGACAUUGAUUUAUUUUCUUUUCUUUUUAAAUAGAGGAAUUUCGUUUGCUCUAAAAUAAUUGCGACUUUCUGUACUGUAAUGCUUUCUAGGGAGCUAAUUUCGUGAAGAAAAAAAAAGAAGACUUUUCGGUAAUAAUCUCAUAUCAAAAUUUUUGAAAGUCAAUCAGUAUUUUACAUGCUUAAACUAAUAAGGUAGCUUAAAUGUGUACAGAAAGGAAAUCUUAAAUUUCCAUUAAGGUUAUAUAAUGAUUAAAAUUCCCUUUAGAUUAAAAUGGAAAGUGCAAAGCAUAACCUUGAAUAAGAUAUAGCGUUUAUGUGCUGAUGAUAAACCUUUUCGUACUAAAAAAAUAAUGAUACUUUAAUUAACCUUUUCCUUCGAUUCUGUGAAAACAUAUUUUGUUAGAUUAGUUUAGUAGAUAACAUUAAUGUUUUGUGGCCAUGUAAUUUUAAAUUUAAUGUAAUAAAUAAAUAAAUAAAUUAUUAAACG
rnacentral:misc_RNA from 1 species